AUUGAACGCUGGCGGCAUGCUUUACACAUGCAAGUCGAACGGUAACAGGCCGCAAGGUGCUGACGAGUGGCGAACGGGUGAGUAAUGCAUCGGAACGUGCCCAGUCGUGGGGGAUAACGCAGCGAAAGCUGUGCUAAUACCGCAUACGAUCUGUGGAUGAAAGCGGGGGACCGUAAGGCCUCGCGCGAUUGGAGCGGCCGAUGGCAGAUUAGGUAGUUGGUGGGGUAAAGGCCUACCAAGCCGACGAUCUGUAGCUGGUCUGAGAGGACGAACAGCCACACUGGGACUGAGACACGGCGCAGACUCCUGCGGGAGGCAGCAGGGGGGAAUUUUGGACAAUGGGCGCAAGCCUGAUCCAGCAAUGCCGCGUGCAGGAAGAAGGCCUUCGGGUUGUAAACUGCUUUUGUACGGAACGAAACGGUCUGGGUUAAUACCCUGGGCUAAUGACGGUACCGUAAGAAUAAGCACCGGCUAACUACGUGCCAGCCGCCGCAGUAAAAC
rnacentral:rRNA from 1 species